rnacentral:rRNA from 1 species
AUGAUCAGGAACUAUUAUUGGGGUGCUGAAAAAGGUAAACGGAAAACAUAUUGGUAUGCUUGGGAUAAGAUGACACGACCCAAGUUUUUGGGAGGUCAGGGUUUUAGGGACUUUCGGUCGUUUAAUCUGGCACUUCUUGCCACACAAGCAUGCCGAUUGCUAUCUUUCCCAAAUAGUCUUUGUGCCAGGCUCCUGAAGGCAAAAUAUUACCCAAGUGGCAGAUUAGAAGACACCAUUUUUACAGGAAACCCCUCUCCAACUUGGCAAGCUAUCAGCUAUGGGUUAGAACUCCUCAAAAAAGGACUCGUUUGGAGAAUUGCUAAUGGCCAGAAUGUCCGUGUUUGGCGUGACAGAUGGGUGGUGCGUGAACCUACUGGUUGUUUAAUAUCUCACAAAGGGCGCUGCAGGUUCAAGUGGGUGUCCGAGCUUUUGGAUCAUAAUGGAUCGUUGGACCUCACGAAACUGCAUCAGUUCUUCCUACCCUAUAUGUGA